AGAGUUUGAUCCUGGCUCAGGAUGAACGCUGGCGGCGUGCUUAACACAUGCAAGUCGAACGAAGCAUGGGAAGACGGAAUUUUUCGGAAGGAAGUCUUCUAUGACUGAGUGGCGGACGGGUGAGUAACGCGUGGGUAACCUGCCUCAUACAGGGGGAUAACAGUUAGAAAUGACUGCUAAUACCGCAUAAGACCACAGUGCCGCAUGGCACAGGGGCCAAAGCCUUGACGGUAUGAGAUGGACCCGCGUCUGAUUAGGUAGUUGGUGGGGUAACGGCCUACCAAGCCGACGAUCAGUAGCCGACCUGAGAGGGUGACCGGCCACAUUGGGACUGAGACACGGCCCAAACUCCUACGGGAGGCAGCAGUGGGGAGUAUUGCACAAUGGGGGAAACCCUGAUGCAGCGACGCCGCGUGAGUGAAGAAGUAUUUCGGUAUGUAAAGCUCUAUCAGCAGGGAAGAAAAUGACGGUACCUGACUAAGAAGCCCCGGCUAACUACGUG
rnacentral:rRNA from 1 species